rnacentral:misc_RNA from 1 species
AGACUUGGCAUUGAUAAGGGUUUGUGUUGUUUAGCAGGGUACUCUGACUGUGGCCCAUGACUCGAAGGAGGUGCAUCUCAAAGUGUUCCCAUUUUAACUUGUAUUAGAUAAUUUAUUACUUCUUGGUAUUGAUAUAUCCGCCACAGAGAAAGGACAGUAACAUCCAGUUAAAAUCACAUCCACGUAUACAGGUACCAAAAACCGAGUAAAAGCUAGCACAGCAGAAACCAACAGCAACAGAGGAGAAAGAAGCUGAAAUAGCAUCAGCAGACAAGAAGCCAAUGGCAGGGAAGAAGUUACUAGAGUGCAGCUGGUGCUGACAAGAAGAGGACGACGAAGAAGUUACUAGAGUGCAGCUGGUGCUGACAAGAAGAGGACGAC